rnacentral:rRNA from 1 species
GAAGAAAGAGGGAGGAGGGAAGAAUACAUGCAAGUUGAGCGCUGAAGGUUGGUACUUGUACCAACUGGAUGAGCAGCGAACGGGUGAGUAACGCGUGGGGAAUCUGCCUUUGAGCGGGGGACAACAUUUGGAAACGAAUGCUAAUACCGCAUAAAAACUUUAAACACAAGUUUUAAGUUUGAAAGAUGCAAUUGCAUCACUCAAAGAUGAUCCCGCGUUGUAUUAGCUAGUUGGUGAGGUAAAGGCUCACCAAGGCGAUGAUACAUAGCCGACCUGAGAGGGUGAUCGGCCACAUUGGGACUGAGACACGGCCCAAACUCCUACGGGAGGCAGCAGUAGGGAAUCUUCGGCAAUGGACGAAAGUCUGACCGAGCAACGCCGCGUGAGUGAAGAAGGUUUUCGGAUCGUAAAACUCUGUUGGUAGAGAAGAACGUUGGUGAGAGUGGAAAGCUCAUCAAGUGACGGUAACUACCCAGAAGGGGACGGCUAACUACG